rnacentral:lncRNA from 12 species
AUGUUUGUGUGUGUGGGGGACAUAUGUGUGUGCAGUGUCUCUAGACGCAGUAAUCCUGCCAGACCUAAUUACUGCUCUCUAUCCCUCCUUCUCUCUCUCUCUCUCUCUCUCUCUCUCUCUCUCGCUCUCUCUGUCUCUCUCUCUCUCUCUCUCUCUCUCUCUCUCAGCUCUCAGAGUGGAGUUUUGAGUUGGCUGCCUCAUGGGUUCAGCAGUGCUCUCCCUCAGCCAGUAAACUCCUCUAAACUGGCCAACAGUGAAGUUAAGGGCUGGAAUGAUAGGCUGGAUUGUGCAGGAACUGGGAAAAGUGGUUCCACAGCCAGAUGAGAAAUACAAGGGUCACACAGAGACGGAGGAGGUCACUGAGGUAUAGACACACACUGCAGACAUUCUCUAAUCCCAUAAGACACUGAAGUUUUGUGCAGUCUGAUUGCUUAUUUGGUUAUUUACCAAGUCAAUUUUUAUAAUAUUUCCUCCGACAUGUCUACCGGAUUUGCUGCAGUUUAAAACAUAAGCUUAUUAGUUAGGCAUGUUAGAAUUUGUGAAGCAUAUUAAUGACUCAGUUUUUAUGCUGUUCACGGACAUUUGUGUUUGAAAAGAAUGAUCAUU